AUGCAAUCCAUAGCGCGAUAAACCGUAAAGUUCCUGCCUUAUGCCAAACUCAUCAUCACUGAGUUGAAGCUGCCAUGGCUCUUGUACACCAGCACCACCUCACAAAUUCAUUCCAUUCCAUUCGCAAGCCCAAUUUGAAACGACAAUCUUCCAAUUCUUGUUUAUUUUUUCAAUUCAAUACCCAGAAGCUCGCCUGCUGCUUAUGUGCAGCAUCCCCAAAUCCCAUUAGCCAGUCUCCAUCUCCGAUUUUCCUCCAUUUUCUCGAAGAAGAAGAAGAAGAAGAAGAAGAAGAAGAAGAAGAAGAAGAAGAGGAAAUUAAUGGAGGUCAUGGAGGAAACAAGACGGAAGAAGAUUGGAAAGACCCAUUAUUCAGAUUUUUAAAAUCCCGGACUUCAGCGACGCAAGACCCACCACGGGAAAGCAAAUUGUCCCUUCAGAGGAAUCGCCGUUCGUCGUGGCAUCUUGCCUCCGAUGUUGAAUUUUUCGAUGAAGCUGAAAUUUCACUCGAGGAAGACAAGGGAAAAUUGGGUUCUGUGAGUCGGGAUUCUAGGGUCUUACCGGAUGGUCUCGUCGGAGAAAUUGUGCGAACUGCGAGGAAUUUGCCGCAAAAUAUGACUCUGGGGGAAGCUUUGGAAGAUUUUGAAGGAAGAAUUAGUGAGAAAGAAUGUUUGGAGGUGCUGCGCUUGUUGGGUGAGGAGAAUCUCGUCGUAUGUUGCUUGUAUUUCUUUGAAUGGAUGGGUUUGCAGGAGACUUCGCUUGUUACACCUCGUGCUUAUUCUCUUCUCUUUCCAUUGUUGGGAAGAGCUGGAAUGGGAGAAAAAAUUAUGGUGUUGUUCAAGAACCUUCCAUGCAAGAAGGAAUUUCAGGAUGUUCAUGUGUAUAAUUCUGCAAUGUCUGGGCUGAUGGUCUGUAAGAGGUAUGAUGACGCUUACAAGGUGUACGAGGCCAUGGAAACAAAUAGUGUCAAUCCAGAUCAUGUGACUUGUUCUAUAAUGAUUACAGUCAUGAGAAAAAUCGGUCGGAGUGCAAAAGAUUCAUGGGAUUACUUUGAGAAAAUGAACAAAAAAGGAGUAAAAUGGAGUCCGGAAGUUUUGGGUGCUCUGAUUAAAUUGUUCUGCGAUGAGGGGUUGAAGAGUCAAGCAAUAAUCAUCCAAUUGGAGAUGGAGAAGAAAGGGGUUGCUUCAAAUGCAAUCAUGUAUAAUACGAUCAUGGAUGCUUUUAGUAAAUCGAAUCAAAUUGAGGAAGCUGAAGGCGUCUUUGCUGAAAUGAAAUCUAAAGGAGUGAAACCAACGAGUGCAAGUUUUAACAUCUUGAUGGAUGCAUACAGUAGGAGGAUGCAACCUGAGAUUGUUGAGAAGCUUCUGGUUGAAAUGAAGGAUAUGGGAUUGGAGCCUAAUGUGAAGUCAUACACUUGCUUGAUUAGUGCUUAUGGGAGGCAGAAGAAAAUGAGUGACAUGGCUGCAGAUGCAUUUUUGAGAAUGAAAAAGAAUGGUAUAAGGCCAACCUCUCAUUCAUAUACAGCUCUGAUUCACGCUUAUUCAGUUAGUGAUUGGCAUCAGAAAGCUUACUCAACAUUCAAGAACAUGUUGCGUGAAGGUUUAAAGCCAUCCAUUGAAACUUACACAACUCUACUUGAUGCGUUUAGGCGUGCUGGUGAUACUGUAGCGUUGAUGAAAAUAUGGAAGUUAAUGAUUAGAGAAAAAAUAUUGGGGACAAGAGUAACCUUCAACAUACUGCUAGAUGGGUUUGCAAAACAGGGUCAUUAUGUUGAAGCUAGAGAUGUGAUCUCUGAGUUUGAUAAAAUUGGGUUACAACCAACUGUUAUGACAUACAACAUGUUGAUGAAUGCAUAUGCUAGGGGAGGUCAACAUUUAAAGAUGCCACAGCUGCUACAAGAGAUGGCUGCUCGGGAACUAAAACCCGACUCCGUUACUUAUUCGACCAUGAUUUAUGCCUUUGUACGUGUUCGUGAUUUCAAGAGAGCUUUCUUUUAUCACAAGAAGAUGGUAAAAAGUGGACAAGUGCCUGAUGUGAAGUCAUACCAGAAACUAAGAUCAAUCUUGGAUGUAAAACUUUCUACAAAGAACAGGAAAGACAAGAGUGCCAUUCUUGGUAUAAUAAACAGCAAAAUGGGUAUGGUGAAAGCUAAGAAGAAGGGCAAGAAAGAUGAGUUUUGGAAGACCAAGAGAAAGCACGUGAGAACUCGGAGAGUUUCUCCCAGUGAACAAACAAAAAUGAAGACCGAGAAUUGAAUUGACCAGCCAGUUGGGCUUUCCUUGCAUGGAUGGCCCAUCUCUGAUCCAUCAUAAGAUGGGCUAAGGAGGCCCAGAAUUUUGCAGAUGGGCCCACUGAGACAAGGAAGUGUCAAAUGGGUCUAUAACAAAACAUUGGCCCAAUAGAGAAAAAGAAGGAGCAAGUCGAAGCAGCUUUUGAAGACUCGAGAUAUUUGUGUAUUGGCUUGGACAGAUUAAUAGUUAAUGAUGAAGAAUAUUGUACAUUAGGAAAAAGGAGGUCUGCACUCUUCUUUUUUCAUGUUGUAAAGAGCUAUGGACAAGACCAGGCUUUUGGUUGUCGACUUGAAGGCAGAAGUUCUCUGUUAUGCUGCCAAGUUUCUUCCAUUGACUUAUGCUGUUUCAGCCUUGAUCAUUCCGGGUUUAGUUGACCAGUUAAACUCGAUGAAGAAUGCAAUAUUACCCAACCUUGUAAAGCAACUGCCUCAGCUAGUGCCAUAUCAAUUUUGCCCUCCUGGAUUUUUUCAUCCAAUAACUGUUAUCUAUGAACUCACUUAUGGGGAGACUGAAAUGAAGCAAGUGGAACUAAGAAAGCCCUUACACUUAAGAUUAGGGUACCUUUUGAUCGUCCUGUGCUAAGAAUUGCUACGUGCAUUGGAUUACUCGGUAAGG